GAUGAACGCUGGCGGCGUGCCUAAUACAUGCAAGUCGAGCGAACAGACGAGGAGCUUGCUCCUCUGACGUUAGCGGCGGACGGGUGAGUAACACGUGGAUAACCUACCUAUAAGACUGGGAUAACUUCGGGAAACCGGAGCUAAUACCGGAUAAUAUAUUGAACCGCAUGGUUCAAUAGUGAAAGACGGUUUUGCUGUCACUUAUAGAUGGAUCCGCGCCGCAUUAUCUAGUUGGUAAGGUAACGGCUUACCAAGGCGACGAUGCGUAGCCGACCUGAGAGGGUGAGCGGCCACACUGGAACUGAGACACGGUCCAGACUCCUACGGGAGGCAGCAGUAGGGAAUCUUCCGCAAUGGGCGAAAGCCUGACGGAGCAACGCCGCGUGAGUGAUGAAGGUCUUCGGAUCGUAAAACUCUGUUAUUAGGGAAGAACAAAUGUGUAAGUAACUAUGCACGUCUUGACGGUACCUAAACAGAAAGCCACGGCUAACUACGUG
rnacentral:rRNA from 1 species